GCUGGGCGCGGUGGCUCACGCCUGUAAUCCCAGCACUUUGGGAGGCUGAGGUGGGUGGAUCACCUGAGGUCAGGAGUUCAAGACCAGCCUGGCCAACAUGGUGAAACCCUGCCUCUA
rnacentral:sRNA from 1 species